rnacentral:rRNA from 1 species
AAUGAUACCCAGGUAGUCCACGCCGUAAACGAUGAGUGCUAAGUGUUAGGGGGUUUCCGCCCCUUAGUGCUGCAGCUAACGCAUUAAGCACUCCGCCUGGGGAGUACGGUCGCAAGACUGAAACUCAAAGGAAUUGACGGGGGCCCGCACAAGCGGUGGAGCAUGUGGUUUAAUUCGAAGCAACGCGAAGAACCUUACCAGGUCUUGACAUCCCACUGACCGCUAUGGAGACAUAGUUUUCCCUUCGGGGACAGUGGUGACAGGUGGUGCAUGGUUGUCGUCAGCUCGUGUCGUGAGAUGUUGGGUUAAGUCCCGCAACGAGCGCAACCCUUGAUCUUAGUUGCCAUCAUUUAGUUGGGCACUCUAAGGUGACUGCCGGUGACAAACCGGAGGAAGGUGGGGAUGACGUCAAAUCAUCAUGCCCCUUAUGACCUGGGCUACACACGUGCUACAAUGGACGGUACAAACGGUUGCCAACCCGCGAGGGGAGCUAAUCCGAUAAAACCGUUCUCAGUUCGGAUUGUAGGCUGCAACUCGCCUAC